rnacentral:lncRNA from 1 species
UCCUGAGGAUUUUAGUGGGCUUUUCCCUAAAUGGGAAGCUGUUAGCUGAUCUUGUUUACCCAAAAAAGACUUCUUGGAAAAGACAAAGGGAUAUUAAUAUUAGUUAGCAUUUACAAAAGACAGUGCAACUGGAGAAAUUUAUUAGUAGGUGAUUACUUAUUCUUUGUAAUGUAGAGUCAAUGGUCACUCUUCACUCCCUGGGAGAGUCAACUCUAAAGAAACUUGGGAAGCUGCAUUGCUUGGUGAUGCUGAGCUAUAUAGGACACAGAGCCUCUGCAACCGGACAGGCAGUGAAGAAAACAAUUCCACUGCAUAGUUAUCAGUGCUACAGGGUCUGAAGUGGUUCUUCGUCGUUCAAAUUCUUCUGGCACAUAACC